rnacentral:rRNA from 1 species
GACGAACGCUGGAGGCGUGCUUAACACAUGCAAGUCGAACGAUGAAAUGGAGCUUGCUCCAUGGAUUAGUGGCGAACGGGUGAGUAACACGUGAAUAACCUGCCCUUAAUUUUGGAAUAACCCAGGGAAACCUGGGCUAAUACCGGAUAAGUAAACCUGUGGCAUCACAUGGUUUUGGAAAGUUUUUCGAUUAAGGAUGGAUUCGCGGCCUAUCAGCUUGUUGGUGAGGUAAUGGCUCACCAAGGCGACGACGGGUAGCCGGCCUGAGAGGGUGAACGGCCACACUGGGACUGAGACACGGCCCAGACUCCUACGGGAGGCAGCAGUGGGGAAUAUUGCGCAAGGGACGAAGGUCUGACGCAGCGACGCCUCGUGAGAGACGAAGGUCUUCGGAUUGUAAACCUCUUUCAGCAGGGACGAAGCGAAAGUGACGGUACCUGCAGAAGAAGCACCGGCUAACUAUGUGCCAGCCGCCGCUGUAA